CAGCCGCCGCGGUAAUACGUAGGUGGCAAGCGUUGUCCGGAUUUAUUGGGCGUAAAGCGAGCGCAGGCGGUUCCUUAAGUCUGAUGUGAAAGCCCACGGCUCAACCGUGGAAGGUCAUUGGAAACUGGGGAACUUGAGUGCAGAAGAGGAGAGUGGAAUUCCAUGUGUAGCGGUGAAAUGCGUAGAUAUAUGGAGGAACACCAGUGGCGAAGGCGACUCUCUGGUCUGUAACUGACGCUGAGGCUCGAAAGCGUGGGGAGCAAACAGGAUUAGAUACCCCGGUAGUCCCUGUCUCUUAUAC
rnacentral:rRNA from 1 species